AGAGUUUGAUCCUGGCUCAGAUUGAACGCUGGCGGCAGGCCUAACACAUGCAAGUCGAGCGGUAGCACAGAGAGCUUGCUCUCGGGUGACGAGCGGCGGACGGGUGAGUAAUGUCUGGGAAACUGCCUGAUGGAGGGGGAUAACUACUGGAAACGGUAGCUAAUACCGCAUAAUGUCGCAAGACCAAAGUGGGGGACCUUCGGGCCUCAUGCCAUCAGAUGUGCCCAGAUGGGAUUAGCUAGUAGGUGGGGUAACGGCUCACCUAGGCGACGAUCCCUAGCUGGUCUGAGAGGAUGACCAGCCACACUGGAACUGAGACACGGUCCAGACUCCUACGGGAGGCAGCAGUGGGGAAUAUUGCACAAUGGGCGCAAGCCUGAUGCAGCCAUGCCGCGUGUGUGAAGAAGGCCUUCGGGUUGUAAAGCACUUUCAGCGGGGAGGAAGGCGGUGAGGUUAAUAACCUCAUCGAUUGACGUUACCCGCAGAAGAAGCACCGGCUAACUCCGUGCCAGCAGCCGCGGUAAUACGGAGGGUGCAAGCGUUAAUCGGAAUUACUGGGCGUAAAGCGCACGCAGGCGGUCUGUCAAGUCGGAUGUGAAAUCCCCGGGCUCAACCUGGGAACUGCAUUCGAAACUGGCAGGCUAGAGUCUUGUAGAGGGGGGUAGAAUUCCAGGUGUAGCGGUGAAAUGCGUAGAGAUCUGGAGGAAUACCGGUGGCGAAGGCGGCCCCCUGGACAAAGACUGACGCUCAGGUGCGAAAGCGUGGGGAGCAAACAGGAUUAGAUACCCUGGUAGUCCACGCCGUAAACGAUGUCGAUUUGGAGGUUGUGCCCUUGAGGCGUGGCUUCCGGAGCUAACGCGUUAAAUCGACCGCCUGGGGAGUACGGCCGCAAGGUUAAAACUCAAAUGAAUUGACGGGGGCCCGCACAAGCGGUGGAGCAUGUGGUUUAAUUCGAUGCAACGCGAAGAACCUUACCUGGUCUUGACAUCCACAGAACUUUCCAGAGAUGGAUUGGUGCCUUCGGGAACUGUGAGACAGGUGCUGCAUGGCUGUCGUCAGCUCGUGUUGUGAAAUGUUGGGUUAAGUCCCGCAACGAGCGCAACCCUUAUCCUUUGUUGCCAGCGGUUAGGCCGGGAACUCAAAGGAGACUGCCAGUGAUAAACUGGAGGAAGGUGGGGAUGACGUCAAGUCAUCAUGGCCCUUACGACCAGGGCUACACACGUGCUACAAUGGCAUAUACAAAGAGAAGCGACCUCGCGAGAGCAAGCGGACCUCAUAAAGUAUGUCGUAGUCCGGAUUGGAGUCUGCAACUCGACUCCAUGAAGUCGGAAUCGCUAGUAAUCGUAGAUCAGAAUGCUACGGUGAAUACGUUCCCGGGCCUUGUACACACCGCCCGUCACACCAUGGGAGUGGGUUGCAAAAGAAGUAGGUAGCUUAACCUUCGGGAGGGCGCUUACCACUUUGUGAUUCAUGACUGGGGUGAAGUCGUAACAAGGUAACCG
rnacentral:rRNA from 1 species